UACGGGAGGCAGCAGGGGGGAAUAUUGGACAAUGGGCGAAAGCCUGAUCCAGCGACGCCGCGUGGGUGAAGAAGGCCUGCGGGUUGUAAAGCCCUUUCGGUAGGGACGAAAGCCUCCGACCUAAUACGUCGGGGGGUUGACUUAACCUACAAAAGAAGCACCGGCUAACUCUGUGCCAGCAGCCGCGGUAAUACAGAGGGUGCAAGCGUUAAUCGGAAUUACUGGGCGUAAAGCGCACGUAGGCGGCUUGGCAUGUCGGGUGUGAAAUCCCCGGGCUCAACCUGGGAACUGCAUCCGAAACUGCCUUGCUAGAGUAUGGGAGAGGGAAGUGGAAUUUCCGGCGUAGCGGUGAAAUGUGUAGAUAUCAUGAAGAACACCGGUUGCGAAGGCGGUCUCCUGGUCCGUUACUGACACUGAGGCGCGAAAGCGUGGGGAGCAAACAGGAUUAGAUACCCUGGUAGUCCACGCCUUAAACGAUGGGUACUAGGUGCUGGGCCGCAAGGUUCAGUGCCAAAGCUAACGCAUUAAGUACCCCACCUGGGGAGUACGAUCGCAAGGUUGAAACUCAAAGGAAUUGACGGGGA
rnacentral:rRNA from 1 species